UACGUAGGUGGCAAGCGUUGUCCGGAAUUAUUGGGCGUAAAGCGCGCGCAGGUGGUUUCUUAAGUCUGAUGUGAAAGCCCACGGCUCAACCUGGGAAUGGCAAUGGAAACUGGCGGGCUUGAGUGUGGCAGAGGGGGGUGGAAUUCCGCGUGUAGCAGUGAAAUGCGUAGAGAUGCGGAGGAACACCGAUGGCGAAGGCAGCCCCCCUGGGCCAACACUGACGCUCAGGCACGAAAGCGUGGGGAGCAAACAGG
rnacentral:rRNA from 1 species